rnacentral:rRNA from 1 species
CGCAUCUGUGCAUGCAGCAUAUCAAUAAGCGGAGGAAAAGAAACUAACAAGGAUUCCCCUAGUAACGGCGAGUGAAGCGGGAAGAGCUCAAAUUUGAAAUCUUAAAGGGUUUCCCUUUACGAAUUGUAGUUUAAAGAAGUGUUUUCUGUUGAGGUUUUGGUAAAAGUUCUUUGGAAUAGGACAUCAUAGAGGGUGAGAAUCCCGUAUUUGACCUUUACUUUCAACUUUGUGAUACACUUUCAAAGAGUCGGAUUGUUUGGGAAUGCAGUCCAAAAUGGGUGGUAAGUUUCAUCUAAAGCUAAAUAUUGGCGAGAGACCGAUAGCGAACAAGUACCGUGAGGGAAAGAUGAAAAGAACUUUGAAAAGAGAGUUAAACAGUACGUGAAAUUGUCAAAAGGGAAGCGUUUGACACCAGUGUUGUUUUUCUGAAAAUCAAUUAAAGAACUGUUUAUGCUAAGCUGUUUAGACUUUAUCAGCUAACUGUUUAGUUUUGAGCUUUUCUUUAAUGCACUUUUCAGUUAACAAGUCAACAUCAAUUUCUUUUGCUGUAAAAAAGCUUGAGGAAGGUGGCUUGAGAUUCGUCUUAAGUGUUUAUAGCCUCUUGCCUAUGCAGUCGGAGAGAUUGAGGUCUGCAGCGUAGAUCCUUCGGGGCUAAAUGCAUUUGUGCUAAGUUAUAGCAUUUUAUAGACAACUUGUUGACUAUGAUUUGUCUUGUAGCUUACUCGCUUAUGUUAUUUUACCUACGCUUAGGAUGUUGAAUCUGUGCGAGACUAC